GCACAAGCGGUGGAGCAUGUGGUUUAAUUCGACGCAACGCGCAGAACCUUACCAGGGUUUGACAUCCCGUGCCACGCUCAGAGAUGGGCGGUCCCCGCAAGGGGCGCGGAGACAGGUGCUGCAUGGCUGUCGUCAGCUCGUGUCGUGAGAUGUUGGGUUAAGUCCCGCAACGAGCGCAACCCUCGCCUUUAGUUGCCAUCAUUCAGUUGGGCACUCUAGAGGGACCGCCGGCGGCAAGCCGGAGGAAGGUGGGGAUGACGUCAAGUCCUCAUGGCCCUUACACCCUGGGCUACACACGUGCUACAAUGGCGGUGACAAUGGGCAGCUAACCCGCGAGGGCAAGCUAAUCCCAAAAAGCCGUCCCAGUUCAGAUUGCACUCUGCAACUCGGGUGCAUGAAGGUGGAAUCGCUAGUAAUCGCAGAACAGCAGGCUGCGGUGAAUACGUUCCCGGGC
rnacentral:rRNA from 1 species